rnacentral:sRNA from 1 species
AAAUUACUUAAUUAACUAUUACGAAAAGGUGGAUCUUUGACUAAACAACCUAACAACUACAACCAACAAAGAAAAUUUAAUGUUUGGAAAAUUUUAAAAAGAUUGGUGCUAACAAUCAUUUUAGCGAUCCGAAACUAAGUCAAUAAAAGCAAUCCUUAGUAACCACUAACGGUUUUUUGAGGUGCAUUAACCGUAAACCUGAAUUAGGUUGGGGUUAUCAAAUCGUCCCCCUAUGGACUGCUUGG